GUAUCCCAGCUUCGGCCACACAUAUACUAAAAUUGGAACGAUGCAGAGAAGAUUAGAAUGGCCCCAGCUGAGAUCUGUAUAACUUAAGGAUCGUCUGCUUAGU
rnacentral:snRNA from 1 species